AUGAUGAAAUUGCUGGAAUUUAAUUUCACAAUACAGUAUAAGAAGGAAAUCCAGAACAGGGUAGCAGAUGCUUUAUCCAGGCUACUCCCUCAAUGCAUGGCCAUAUCUUCUGUUACUCCUGUCUGGGCAGAAGAACUGAUAGAAAGUUACAAAAAGGACCCUGACAGUCUGCAGUUACUGGAGAAGUUACUCCUUCAGAAAAACCAUACAUUGUCAGACUAUUCUUUAACAGCUGGCAUCACCAGGCAUAAAGGGAAGAUCCUAGUGGGCAACAACCCUGACUUAAGAAUCAAGUUAAUCACAGCAUUGCAUAGCUCACCAGUGGGGGGCUACUCUGGCAAGAGAGCAACAUACCAGAGAAUAAAAAGUAUAUUCUACUGGCCUGGGUUGAAAGCUUCAGUGGAGAAUUUCAUUGCUGCAUGCCCCAUAUGUCAAAGAGAAAAGCAUGAAUCCUGCUUGCAACCUGGCCUCUUGGAGCCUCUACCUGUAGCUGACAUGGCCUGGCAGCACAUAUCCAUGGACUUUAUUGAGGGGCUGCCUAAUUCUCAGGGCAAGGAUGUCAUUAUGGUCAUUGUGGACAGAUUCACAAAGUAUGCACAUUUUAUUCCCUUAUCCCAUCCCUACUCUGUGCUUAGUGUAGCUCAAGCCUUUGUAGAUAACAUUAUCAAGUUGCAUGGCCCUCCCAAAAUGAUCAUUUCUGACAGAGAUAGGAUAUUCACUAGUCAGCUGUGGAAAGACAUUUUUUCUGCAUUAAAAGUGGAACUAAGAUACAACACAGCCUACCACCCACAAACAGAUGGUCGGACUGAAAGAGUUAAUCAGUGCCUAGAAACUUAUCUAAGAUGCAUGACCACCUCUGCACCUAAGAAAUGGCUGUCCUAG
rnacentral:rRNA from 1 species